GACGAACGCUGGCGGCGUGCCUAAUACAUGCAAGUAGAACGCUGAAGAGAGGAGCUUGCUCUUCUUGGAUGAGUUGCGAACGGGUGAGUAACGCGUAGGUAACCUGCCUUGUAGCGGGGGAUAACUAUUGGAAACGAUAGCUAAUACCGCAUAACAAUGGAUGACACAUGUCAUUUAUUUGAAAGGGGCAAUUGCUCCACUACAAGAUGGACCUGCGUUGUAUUAGCUAGUAGGUGAGGUAAUGGCUCACCUAGGCGACGAUACAUAGCCGACCUGAGAGGGUGAUCGGCCACACUGGGACUGAGACACGGCCCAGACUCCUACGGGAGGCAGCAGUAGGGAAUCUUCGGCAAUGGGGGCAACCCUGACCGAGCAACGCCGCGUGAGUGAAGAAGGUUUUCGGAUCGUAAAGCUCUGUUGUAAGUCAAGAACGGGUGUGAGAGUGGAAAGUUCACACUGUGACGGUAGCUUACCAGAAAGGGACGGCUAACUACGUGCCAGCAGCCGCGGUAAUACGUAGGUCCCGAGCGUUGUCCGGAUUUAUUGGGCGUAAAGCGAGCGCAGGCGGUUUGAUAAGUCUGAAGUUAAAGGCUGUGGCUCAACCAUAGUUCGCUUUGGAAACUGUCAAACUUGAGUGCAGAAGGGGAGAGUGGAAUUCCAUGUGUAGCGGUGAAAUGCGUAGAUAUAUGGAGGAACACCGGUGGCGAAAGCGGCUCUCUGGUCUGUAACUGACGCUGAGGCUCGAAAGCGUGGGGAGCGAACAGGAUUAGAUACCCUGGUAGUCCACGCCGUAAACGAUGAGUGCUAGGUGUUGGAUCCUUUCCGGGAUUCAGUGCCGCAGCUAACGCAUUAAGCACUCCGCCUGGGGAGUACGACCGCAAGGUUGAAACUCAAAGGAAUUGACGGGGGCCCGCACAAGCGGUGGAGCAUGUGGUUUAAUUCGAAGCAACGCGAAGAACCUUACCAGGUCUUGACAUCCCGAUGCUAUUUCUAGAGAUAGAAAGUUACUUCGGUACAUCGGUGACAGGUGGUGCAUGGUUGUCGUCAGCUCGUGUCGCGAGAUGUUGGGUUAAGUCCCGCAACGAGCGCAACCCCUAUUGUUAGUUGCCAUCAUUCAGUUGGGCACUCUAGCGAGACUGCCGGUAAUAAACCGGAGGAAGGUGGGGAUGACGUCAAAUCAUCAUGCCCCUUAUGACCUGGGCUACACACGUGCUACAAUGGUUGGUACAACGAGUUGCGAGUCGGUGACGGCGAGCUAAUCUCUUAAAGCCAAUCUCAGUUCGGAUUGUAGGCUGCAACUCGCCUACAUGAAGUCGGAAUCGCUAGUAAUCGCGGAUCAGCACGCCGCGGUGAAUACGUUCCCGGGCCU
rnacentral:rRNA from 1 species